GGCCUUGCGCGAACGGAGCGGCCGAUGGCAGAUUAGGUAGUUGGUGGGAUAAAAGCUUACCAAGCCGACGAUCUGUAGCUGGUCUGAGAGGACGACCAGCCACACUGGGACUGAGACACGGCCCAGACUCCUACGGGAGGCAGCAGUGGGGAAUUUUGGACAAUGGGCGAAAGCCUGAUCCAGCCAUGCCGCGUGCAGGAUGAGGGCCUUCGGGUUGUAAACUGCUUUUGUACGGAACGAAAAGACUCUGGUUAAUACCUGGGGUCCAUGACGGUACCGUAAGAAUGAGCACCGGCUAACUACGUGCCAGCAGCCGCGGUAAUACGUAGGGUGCAAGCGUUAAUCGGAAUUACUGGGCGUAAAGCGUGCGCAGGCGGUUAUAUAAGACAGAUGUGAAAUCCCCGGGCUCAACCUGGGAACUGCAUUUGUGACUGUAUAGCUAGAGUACGGCAGAGGGGGAUGGAAUUCCGCGUGUAGCAGUGAAAUGCGUAGAUAUGCGGAGGAACACNCCGAUGCGGAANGGCNANAAUCCCCUGGGCCUGUACUGACGCUCAUGCACGAAAAGCGUGGGGAGCAAACAGGAUUAGAUNACCCNUGGUAGUCCACGCCCUAAACGAUGUCAACUGGNUUGUUGGGNCCUUCACUGACUCAGUAACGAAGCUAACGCGUGAAGUUGACCGCCUGGGGANGUACGGCCGCAAGGUUNGAAACUCNAAAGGAAUUGACGGGGACCCNGCACAAGCGGUGGANUGAUGUGGNUUUAAUUCGAUGCAACGCGAAAAACCUUACCCACCNUUUGACAUNGUACGGAAUNCCUUUAGAGAUAGAGGNAGUNGCUCNGAAANGAGAGCCGUAACACNAGGUGCUGNCAUGGNCUGUCGUCAGCUCGUGUCGUGAGAUGUUGGGUUAAGUCCCGCAACGAGCGCAACCCUUGCCAUUAGUUGCUACGAAAGGGCACUCUAAUGGGACUGCCGGUGACAAACCGGUGGAAGGUGGGGAUGACGUCAAGUCCUCAUGGCCCUUAUAGGUGGGGCUACACACGUCAUACAAUGGCUGGUACAGAGGGUUGCCAACCCGCGAGGGGGAGCUAAUCCCAUAAAGCCAGUCGUAGUCCGGAUCGCAGUCUGCAACUCGACUGCGUGAGGUCGGAAUCGCUAGUAAUCGCGGAUCAGAAUGUCGCGGUGAAUACGUUCCCGGGUCUUGUACACACCG
rnacentral:rRNA from 1 species